rnacentral:rRNA from 1 species
CGGAACGGGUGAGUAAUACGUGAGUAACCUACCUUUAACUCUGGGAUAAGCCUGGGAAACUGGGUCUAAUACCGGAUACGACCAAUCUCCGCAUGGAGUGUUGGUGGAAAGCGUUAUGUAGUGGUUAUAGAUGGGCUCACGGCCUAUCAGCUUGUUGGUGAGGUAACGGCUCACCAAGGCGACGACGGGUAGCCGGCCUGAGAGGGUGACCGGCCACACUGGGACUGAGACACGGCCCAG